AUCGAAGAAGGCGGGCUUUGCACUGCAGUUCAAAGAUACCGACUAACAUGACACGACGCUGCAGUUUUUAACAGUGAAAGAGUGCAAGAUAAGAAAGCUGCUGCAUGAAGUGAAGAUGCGGUUUGGGAAGGACCUUCAUCGUAAUCUAGAGACUGCUCUUCAAGUUCUGAACAAUUUACUUCACCAAAUUGACACAAACACAAAAAGUCCCAAAACUAACCCUAAGUCACAAUGAUGAGAGUGGAAGAUCUAUCUGAAGAGAGACAGGCAGAUGGACAGAAACAGGAAGAACAGAAAAGUGUCAAAACACUGCAGCUCGUGAUUCUGUGGCGAUGACGGGCUGGGGUCAGAUGCAUGAACCAGAAAGGAGAUCCUAUUCCACGUUCCCAGUGAGGCAUUCUGGGAAUGCCUUGAAUAUAAGCAAGCCGACGAGGAUCCACCCUUAUCCAUGUCCUCAUGGGCAUCCCACCACUGCAGGAACCUUAUUCCAGAGACCCAUUCAGAACUAUUGAUCCCACACACACACAGAGACACACACACGCGUUUACCUACUGUAGCUGUCUAAAGGAGUAUGUACCAAUCCAAUCUCACUGGAAAACAUGCUUUCAUAUGAAUAUGUACAAGAAGUAUAAUUUUUGGAAAAAAGUAAGCUUUAAAAUCCACAAGCAUUACCGUCAAUGGGGCAAAUUUAUAUGAAUUGCCAGUUCAAUUUCAAAAUGCAAAAUAGUUAAGAACUGCCAUGAGAUUGUGUUGGUAUGUACCAUAGACUUCUGUUGAUUUUGUAUAAAGAUAAUUAUAAAAUCGUCAGUGCGGUUACUUUUUAAAGUGAUAUGUUAAAAUAUUGUGUUGUGUAUUGAAACAAAUCUAAACUAAAUUACAACCUAUUGUUAGUUUUUAUCUAAAGCACUUUAGCACUUAAUUUUCAACUGAGAAGCUUUAUAUUUGGAUUAUAUUUGGAAAGGCUAUUAAAAUAUAUAACAACCACUUCCUAAAAUCCAGUCAAUUCCUGAUGCGGUCCUGGCUCUACAUUUUUGCUUGUGGACUAUAUCUUUUUAACCUGUUAAUGCCAUCUUAUAAAAGUAAAAUGGGUUGCAAAUGUCAAAUCACAUUCACUUUAAAAAGUAGAAAAGUAUGCUGCUUGUUUGAAAUAAAGUUGUUGU